rnacentral:rRNA from 1 species
CACGUAGGGCGCGAGCGUUGUCCGGAAUUAUUGGGCGUAAAGAGCUCGUAGGCGGUUUGUCGCGUCUGCUGUGAAAACUCGGGGCUUAACCCCGGGCCUGCAGUGGGUACGGGCAGACUAGAGUGCGGUAGGGGAGACUGGAAUUCCUGGUGUAGCGGUGAAAUGCGCAGAUAUCAGGAGGAACACCGGUGGCGAAGGCGGGUCUCUGGGCCGUAACUGACGCUGAGGAGCGAAAGCGUGGGGAGCGAACAGG